rnacentral:lncRNA from 1 species
AAGGCAAAACUCAAAUAAAAUGGUUUGUCUUUCUUUUCUUCAAAGGGUAGAAAUCAAGGGAAGAUGUUGACUCUUCAGUUACCCUGGAGUCAGAAGGAACUUUGUGAACAGAAGAUUUCUCUUCUGAAGGAAAUCAAUGGACUGACUGCUCAGAAAGAAACUGUUUGAAAAUGGCUGUCAUAAUAAAUAGCCAAGUGAUUUCCUGUCUGAAAAUAUGUGGGCCAAGCUGUCAGAAUGAGAUCCCUGGAGGUGGUCUAGAGGGCUGGCAAAGGGAUAUUUGGCUGGGAGCCUGUCACCAGCUUUGCAAACAACUAGAAACUAAAGGGAUGCCUAUCAAUUGGGAAAUGGCCAAAUAAGUUGUGGUAUGUGUUUAGAAUGGUAUACUAAUUUGCCAUAAGAAAUAACAAACAAG